rnacentral:rRNA from 1 species
AUUGAACGCUGGCGGCAGGCCUAACACAUGCAAGUCGAGCGGAGAGGCGGACGGGUGAGUAAUGCCUAGGAAUCUGACUGGGAGUGGGGGAUAACGUCCGGAAACGGGCGCUAAUACCGCAUACUAUCAGAUGAGCCUAGGCCGGAUUAGCUAGGUGGUGGGGUAAAGGCCUACGAAGGCGACGAGCCGCACCUGGUCCGAGAGGAUGAUCAGUCACACUGGAACUGCGACACGGUCCAGACUCCUACGGUGGGCAGCAGUGGGGAAUAUUGGACAAUGGUCGGAAGCCUGAUCCAGCCAUGCCGCGUGUGUGACGAAGUUCUUCGGUUUUUAAAGCACUUUAAGUUGUGAUGCGUUACCAACAGAAUAAGCACCGGCUAACUUCGUGCCAGCAGCCGCGGUAAUAC